rnacentral:rRNA from 1 species
UCGGACUCAACGCCGGGAAACUCACCAGAUAAGACAGCUGAAUGAUAGUCGGGCUGAAGACUCUACUUGACUAGCUGAGAGGAGGUGCAUGGCCGUCGUCAGUUCGUACUGUGAAGCAUCCUGUUAAGUCAGGCAACGAGCGAGACCCACGCCAACAGUUGCCAGCUCGUCCUCCGGGAUGGUGGGGACACUGUUGGGACCGCUCUGCUAAAGAGGAGGAAGGAAUGGGCAACGGUAGGUCAGCAUGCCCCGAAUUAUCUGGGCUACACGCGGGCUACAAUGGGUGGGACAAUGGGUAUCGACACCGAAAGGUGAAGGCAAUCUCCUAAACCCAUCCGUAGUUCGGAUUGUGGGCUGCAACUCGCCCACAUGAAGCUGGAAUCUGUAGUAAUCGUGUCUCAAAAUGGCACGGUGAAUAUGUCCCUGCUCCUU